GGUGUAACGAUGCAGGGGGGUGGGGGGUUCGGGUUGCUCGUGGGGCAGGACGGAAGUUCAAGGCAGCCGUGGCGCCACGGGGACGCACGGGGAAGCGCCAUGCUGACGAUGACGCGCACGCACUUCCAGAUAUUAUUUGCAGUCGGAGAGACUACGUAUGGGAAUGGUCACGCAUGCGGUUAUGUAUCUCGUCUGGAUGAGUAAUAAACGACAGAUAUGGUGGAGAUGUUUGUUGUAUACGUGAAUUGAUUCUUGGAGAAAUACAGGAUAUUCUGCAAGAAGAAAGAAUGUUACAAAUAAAAAAGUAUAGUACAUAUUAUAAUACGUUAUGGAAAUAUAUAUGUAGGAUUGAGGUUUAAUUAUGAGUAUGAUUCUAUUAUUAUGGCAUUUGUCUUAUCAGGGUUACUAUUAUUAUAGGGUUGUGGUAUUACAUAUAUUUGAGAAACUAUCGCACAUUAAAUUAAAGGUCGCAUUAGGUUUUAUAUAGUUUUAUUGCAUUUGUACAAAUAGCAUUUUUGUUACUUCCAAUGCAUAUGUACCUAUUACAUAUUUUAUAACAAAGAUUAGAUCUUAAAUUUAAUGCAACAGGUACUACCAUAAAGAAAUAAAUACAUACAUAGAUGUUUUUAGAACUCAAGUACUAGGUUCUUGUAAUUAAAAACUGUACUUCCAGAUAUUUCUAUUCUUCUUUUAAUUUGUAGUUCUAGAUAUUAUAAUAAGGAUUCUGGAACUUCUUAUGUUCUAAUAGAAAUUUGCGAACAAUAUUCAUAUAAACAUUUGAUGAUUAAUAAAUAUGUUUACUCUGUACAUAUGUAUUGGACAUAUGACAUCGACGGUUGUUUCAACUUACACAUUUUUAUAUUCUUAUAUUCAUUAUUAUCUAAAAAGGCUAAUGAAAAAUGUGAAGUGCGUAGAGUAUUAUUAUAUAUGCUUGUUAUAUGAUUUUUGAAAGAUGUUUAUUUGUUGCCAUAUAUUUAUUGAAAACAAAGCAGAUAUCAUCGUAACAACUGAAAUACUAUUGCAAUACAAUACUUAUCACUAUUUACCACGUAUGUAGGUAGUUGUACAUAUACAUACAUAUUUAGUACCAGUAUGCAUGUUAAUAUCUUCAAUAUUUUGAUACUUACAUAUGUAGGUAAUACGUAUCAUAAUUUAGUAUAAAAUUGUAACAUUGUUAAGUGUAUAGAUAUAGGUUCAUAUCUAGAUUUAUAAUAUAGUAUGUACAUAUA